AUGUUUAUUCAAUAUUCCUGCAGUCAGAUACUGAUCGAGUCUGAUCCAGUGAUCAUCAAGCCUGAUGGAUUUGACUUUAGUAGCCAUUACAUGGCUUGGAUCAGACAGGUGUUUGGAAAAGGACAGGAAUGGGUUGCAAGAAUCCACAAUGUGGAAUGUGCAGUAGAGCUCACUCAGGACACCUCAGUGAUGUUAAAGCCUGGAGAUUCUUUAACCCUCAGCUGUAAAGUAUCCGGUUACUCAGUUACUGAUAACAGCUACGCCACAGCUUGGAUUCGACAACCUGCAGGGAAAACUCUGGAAUGGAUAAACCACAUUUGGGGGGGUGGAAGCAUGUAUCAUAAAGAGUCUCUAAAAAGCAAGUUCAGUAUUUCUAAAGAUGCCUCCAGCAGCACGGUGACUCUGAGAGGACAGAACAUGCAGACUGAAGACACAGCUGUGUAUUACUGUGCACGGAGACCACACUGA